rnacentral:rRNA from 1 species
AGAUAGCCGCCUGAAAAGGCGAUUAAUACCCCAUAGGAGCCCCUGGCGAGUGCCGGGGGCUUUAAAGACAUACAGUCGCCCGGGGAUUGGAAUAUGUUCUAUUAGCUAGUUGGCGGGAUAAAAGCCCACCAAGGCGAUGAUAGAUAGCUGGUCUGAGAGGAUGAGCAGCCACAAUGGGAUUGAGAUACGGCCCAUAUUCCUACGGGAAGCAGCAGUAGGGAAUUUUCCACAAUGGGCGAAAGCCUGAUGGAGCAAUGCCAUGUGAACGAAGAAGGCCAGGAUGGUUGUAAAGUUCUUUUAGGGGGGAAGAAAAUGACGGUACCCCCUGAAUAAGUGACAGCAAACUAUGUGCCAGCAGCUGCGGUAAUACAUAGGUCGCGAGCGUUAUUCGGAUUUAUUGGGCGUAAAGCAAGCGCAGGCGGAUUGAUAAGUUCUGUGUUAAAAGCAGCUGCUCAACAGUUGUUUGCACCGAAUACUGUCAGUCUAGAAUAUGGUAGGGAGUUUCGGAAUUAAAUAUGGAGCGGUGGAAUGUGUAGAUAUAUUUAAGAACACCAGAAGCGAAGGCGGAAACUCAGGCCACUAUUGACGCUUAGGCUUGAAAGUGUGGGGAGCAAAUGGGAUUAGAUACCCCAGUAGUCCACACCGUAAACGAUGGGUAUUAGAUGCCGGGACCUGAGUCUCGGCGUUGUACCUUACGUGUUAAAUACCCCGCCCUGGG